CCUACGGGUGGCAGCAGUGGGGAAUAUUGGACAAUGGGCGAAAGCCUGAUCCAGCCAUGCCGCGUGUGUGAAGAAGGCCUUCGGGUUGUAAAGCACUUUCAGUGGGGAAGAAAGCCUUGGGGCUAAUACCCUCGAGGAAGGACAUCACCCACAGAAGAAGCACCGGCUAACUCCGUGCCAGCAGCCGCGGUAAUACGGAGGGUGCGAGCGUUAAUCGGAAUUACUGGGCGUAAAGCGCGCGUAGGCGGUCUGAUAAGCCGGUUGUGAAAGCCCCGGGCUCAACCUGGGAACGGCAUCCGGAACUGUCAGACUAGAGUGCAGGAGAGGAAGGUAGAAUUCCCGGUGUAGCGGUGAAAUGCGUAGAGAUCGGGAGGAAUACCAGUGGCGAAGGCGGCCUUCUGGACUGACACUGACGCUGAGGUGCGAAAGCGUGGGUAGCAAACAGGAUUAGAUACCCCUGUAGUC
rnacentral:rRNA from 1 species